CAGAAUGAUGAUAUAUUUUUAACCCUUACGUGCUCAAAAGAGUACCCAUGGAGAAGAAAAAUUAUGCAACAAACACUCUAAUUUUUUACUGAUU
rnacentral:snoRNA from 1 species